rnacentral:lncRNA from 1 species
UAGAAGCCUUUAGACAUGGCUGCAGCGUGGGAGGAAUGCGAGCCUGGCAUGGCUCCUGAGGGCAGAGGCACUGAUGCCUAGCCCGGGGUGCGCGGACCUUUCCCUUCAGGGCUGGUGGCUGGGCUGACCCGUCUAGGAGGGAGGGUGCUAUGGUGACUGGGAACUAGGACCAUGCCUCCUAGUCUGAUUCCCAGUCACCAGUUGUCCAAGGCGCUCUGGGCAAGUUGACGGCCAUCUCUGAGAGCCAAGGCAUCCUCAGCUGUAGCAAGAGGGGGUGUUCAUGGUGACUGCUAAGGAAGUGUCCAGCUGACAUUGUUGGUCACGACUGCGGUCUCAUCUGAAGGCUCGAGUGGGCAGGAGAGCUCCAUUUCCUCACAAGGAGGGGAAGAGGACAGGGUCGUACAUGGGCUUGGAUACCAGGAGGAGGGAUCAUUGGGGGCCACCUUAAAGGCUGCCUACCACACUGGGGAAUGAUGCCCUGCGGACUAGGGCACCCUCCAACUUUCCAGAGUUCCAGGCCAUGCCCAUUGCCUCAGGCUGGGGACUCCCUGAGCCAGAACCAUCAGCUUCCUGAGGGGGGGCUGGCGGUAGUCCCAUCAUCAGCCCUGGAUCUGGGUGAAGCUGCGAGUCACAGAGACCCAAGGCGGGCGAGCCCUGCUCUGCCUGCAGAGUCCACACCUGGCUGCCUACAAGAGCUGAACCCCACCACCAGCUUUGGGGACCCAGGAAGUUCUGAGUUCAAGAACCUGGCCCAGAGGGCAGAGAGGAGACAAGCAGGACCCACAACCCAGAGGCCCUGUCAACAGCCAUCCGUGAAUGUAGGCGGUCGAAAGCUCACUCAGGGAGCCCCAAGGCUCUCAGGCCUGCCCUCCUGGGGCCUGCCAGAACCCCAGGGUCCCCUGGAGGGGCUGGGCUGGAGCCUGGGCCGAGAGAGAGCAGAACUUCAGAAACUGCUGAGGAUUGAGAUUCCUCAGAGGCAGAGAGAGGGGGACCCUCAGGAGCAGAACGAAGAGAGCCCCCAGGGUCAGAGAGGGGAAGCCCCCCAGGGGGAGAGCAAAGAAGUUCCUUCGAGACACAGAGAGAAGACACACCAGGGUCAGAGUGCGGAGGCCACUCAGGCUCUGAGGGAGGAGGUCUCUGAGUAUCCCAGGUGUGAGGCUCCCCAGAGUGAGAGGAGAGAGUCUCCUCAAGGUCAAAGAGGAAAUAGCCCUAAGUGUCAGAGAACGGAGGUUUUCCAGGAGCCACAAGAGCCAGAAAUGAAGACCCUUCAGACUUCCCCAGGCCCUAACUGGGAGGUGGCUGAGGGAGAGGUGCCUACACAACCCCCGGAGGAAGGCGGCUCCCUGGGAAUUUCUAGGGAUCUCUGUAGGUCCCUGGGAGAACAGAUGCCACAGCAAAGGGGUAGGGAGAGCCCUGGCUCCGGGGAAAGGGCCGCCCAGCGGCGAGAGUCAGCACCGGGCGCGGGAGAGCAGAGGGCCGCCGGGGAGCGGGUACGGACUCCCCUUCCAUCCCCGAGGCCCCCGACCCGGUCGCUGCUCCCAAGCC